UCUCUUGUAGCUUAGCGAUAAGAGCAUUGGUGCGUAAAGCCAAAGGUCCCGGGUUCGAUUCCUGACCGGGGGU
rnacentral:tRNA from 1 species